GAUUGGAUAACAUAACGGUAAUGUGUUGAAUUGCAAAUUCAUUUUAUAGCGGUUCGAUUCCGCUUCCAAUCU
rnacentral:tRNA from 1 species